AGCAAGAAAGUCUAAAGAAAGGGUUUGGACCGGUACAACCGGUUUGGUCCGGUAUAUAACGGACCUAUAAAAUUGCUAACCGGUACCGAAAACUGGUUUGUACCGAACUGGUCCCAAACCGGCAAGUUCGGACCUGUCCGGUUUACCUUAAAACCGAAAAUUUUGAACACCUCUAGUUGAAGUUAUAACUAUAACAAGCUGCUGACAAGAAAC
rnacentral:lncRNA from 1 species